UACCAGGUGAGUAAUAAUAAAUGUCGGUUGCACUUUACUUGAAGGUUUCUACACAAGAGUGACAUGAUGCUGUCAUGAACGGGUCAUAAAACAUUAUAAAGAAGUCAUAAAUGUUUUAGACAUAACACUUCGUUUAGUAAGUGUCAUUUGGUUUUGUCAUGACAAGUUAUGGUUAGGGUUCAUG